rnacentral:rRNA from 1 species
ACGCUCGACACCUACGGGGGCAGCAGUGGGGAAUAUUGCACAAUGGGGGAAACCCUGAUGCAGCGACGCCGCGUGAGUGAAGAAGUAUUUCGGUAUGUAAAGCUCUAUCAGCAGGGAAGAAGAUGACGGUACCUGAGUAAGAAGCCCCGGCUAACUACGUGCCAGCAGCCGACGGUAAUCUGAGGCGGCUGGCAAGGC